UUACGGCCAUGUCACGUUGAAAUUCCGGUUCCCGUACGAUCACUGAAGUUAAGCAACAUCGAACCUGGUCAGUACCUAGAUAGGUGAUCGUUUGGUAAUACCUGGUGCCGUAUU